GGUCCAGUCGCUAGCUGAGAUCUGCUGGGCUUCUCGGGGUUUGGUAUCGUCACUAGCUAGUUGUAUCAUUAAUUUUCAGUCAGGUGAAGCAGAAGCGUGGACCCAGAUGUCAACAGCAAGAACAGAGAGUAAUCGCGAAGAGUGAAAGAAAGGAUCAUUGGAAGUCACCACUUCUGUGACUAAUGGAUGCACUAGUUAUGCUGGGAAAUGUCGCUGUAAUGAUGUGGACAAGACCACAUAAUGAAAGAGAAACUGCAAACAUUCAAUACAUGCUCCUUGAAUAAAUGGAUGGGUUGUUUAUUAUGCUCUAAAACUUGUCACCACAAUUAAAACAGGAAAUACUUGGAGAAAGACAAACAAGAAAAAGAAAAAGUUCAAAGAACCUGAAAAGAAAUAUUUUUCAGCAUCAUUAGGUCUUGUGAGAAAGACCAUGAUGUUGGUGAGGAAAAAAAAGGAAUAAAAUUCUUCAGUUAUGUUCA